UGACCGCUGGCGGCAGGCCUACCACAUGCAAGUCGACCGGUAACAGGAAGAAGCUUGCUUCUUUGCUGACGAGUGGCGGACGGGUGAGUAAUGUCUGGGAAACUGCCUGAUGGAGGGGGAUAACUACUGGAAACGGUAGCUAAUACCGCAUAACGUCGCAAGACCAAAGAGGGGGACCUUCGGGCCUCUUGCCAUCGGAUGUGCCCAGAUGGGAUUAGCUAGUAGGUGGGGUAACGGCUCACCUAGGCGACGAUCCCUAGCUGGUCUGAGAGGAUGACCAGCCACACUGGAACUGAGACACGGUCCAGACUCCUACGGGAGGCAGCAGUGGGGAAUAUUGCACAAUGGGCGCAAGCCUGAUGCAGCCAUGCCGCGUGUAUGAAGAAGGCCUUCGGGUUGUAAAGUACUUUCAGCGGGGAGGAAGGGAGUAAAGUUAAUACCUUUGCUCAUUGACGUUACCCGCAGAAGAAGCACCGGCUAACUCCGUG
rnacentral:rRNA from 1 species